UGGGGUGCAGAUCAGUGGUAGAGCACAUACUUGGCAUGUAUGAGGCCCUGGUUUCAAUUUCUAGCACUCAAA
rnacentral:tRNA from 1 species